ACACGUAGGGGCCUGACGUUGUUCGGAAUCAUUGGGCGUAAAGGGCGCGCAGGCGGCCGUCCAAGUCCGGUGUUAAAUGGUCGGGCUCAACCCGAUCAUGCGCUGGAAACUGGGCGGCUGGAGUCCCGGAGGGGAUGCCGGAAUUCCAGGUGUAGGGGUGAAAUCUGUAGAUAUCUGGAAGAACACCGAUGGCGAAGGCAGGCAUCUGGCCGGAGACUGACGCUGAGGCGCGAAGGCGCGGGGAGCGAACAGGUUUAGAUACCCUGGUAGUCCGCGCAGUAAACGAUGCGCACCAGGUGUCGGGCGGCAGCGCCCGGUACCGGAGCAAACGCGAUGAGUGCGCCGCCUGGGGAGUAUGCCCGCAAGGGCGAAACUCAAAUGAAUUGACGGGG
rnacentral:rRNA from 1 species